UACGGGGGGAGCGAGCAUUAUUCAAAAUGAUUAGGCGUAAAGCGUUUGUAGGUUGUUUUUUAAGUUGGAAAAAAAAUAAUAAAGCUCAACUUUAUUUAUUUUUCAAUACUUUAAAACUUGAGUAUAAAUAAAAGAUAAUGGAAUUUUUAUUGUAAGGAUAAAAUCUAUUGAUAAUAAAAAGAAGACCAAAGGCUAAAGCAAUUAUCUAGGUAUAUACUGACAUUGAGAAACGGAAGCUUGGGUAGCGAACGGG
rnacentral:rRNA from 1 species